ACUCGGUAACUCUUCCAACUCACCACAAUUGCAGACAAAAAGUUCCAAUAGACUUAAGGGAAGCUUCGGCAUGGAUUUCAACAAUGGGCAAUCCUUAACAGUGAGCUUUCUCAGGUGGCUUAAACGAGAAAGUUUAGGCAUGGAUUUCAACAGUGGGCAAUCCUUAACAGUGAGCUUUCUCAGGUGGCUUAAACGAGAAAGUUUAGGAAAUGUGCGAUGCUGACCGCUGACUUCCAAAACUGUUAAAGAGGUAGGAAGCUCCGGCAAUGAUUGAAGCAUAUGGCAAUCGUCUAACAUAAGUUGCUCAAGACAAGAAACCUUAUCGAAUGUGC
rnacentral:lncRNA from 1 species